rnacentral:lncRNA from 13 species
AACAAUGAAUUGCCCCAGGUUCCAAGGAAUGUUGAAUGACAACGUGAAAAUUUUCUUGUUUAACAGUUAAAAGUUGAGUACCCACUAUUUGCCAGAUGGAGUGACAGCAUGUGACAGCGAUAGCCAAAAGACAUGGCUCCAGCAAUGGAGUUAGACUUACAUGACAAGGAAUUAUUACAUGAGAUAAAGCAGGUCAAGCACUUAGUACAAGGACUGAUGGAGAUACAGAGGAAGUUGAAGAGAGAAAGAAAACAAUUAUCAGAAGAUGUUAAAGAGUGAGCCUUGAAAUAAAAAUGCAUCUCUCUAGGAUUUUGACAGAUGAACAAAGAGUCUCUGUCACCCAGAGUGGAGUGCAAUGGUGUGAUCUCAGCUCACUGCAACCUCCGACUCCUGGGUUCAAGCGAUUCUCCAAUUUCAGAUAGAGUCUCGCUCUGUCACCCAGGCUGGAGUGCAGUAGUACGAUCUCAGCUCACUGCAACCUUCACCUCCAAGUUCAAGCGAUUCUCAUGCCUCAGCCUUCCAAAGAAGUUGAGACUACAGGUUCACGCCACCACGCCUGGCUAAUUUUUAUAUUUUUAGUAAAGACCGGGUUUCACCAUGUUGGCCAGGUUGGUCUCAAACUCCUGACCUCAAGUGAUCCAUCGCCUUGGCCUCCCAAAGUGCUGGGAUUACAGGUGUGAGCCACCGCACCCAGCCUGCCUUAGAUUUUUUAGAGGGGGAUAGGUAGAAAUAUAUCAGAUAUACAUUGUAAAUAAAUAAAUUCAGACAAAAGCUGAAAAUCA